AGCGAACGCUGGCGGCAGGCUUAACACAUGCAAGUCGAACGAGCACUUCGGUGCUAGUGGCAGACGGGUGAGUAACACGUGGGAACGUACCUUUCGGUUCGGAAUAAUUCAGGGAAACUUGGACUAAUACCGGAUAAGCCCUUCGGGGGAAAGAUUUAUCGCCGAUAGAUCGGCCCGCGUCUGAUUAGCUAGUUGGUGAGGUAAUGGCUCACCAAGGCGACGAUCAGUAGCUGGUCUGAGAGGAUGAUCAGCCACACUGGGACUGAGACACGGCCCAGACUCCUACGGGAGGCAGCAGUGGGGAAUAUUGGACAAUGGGCGAAAGCCUGAUCCAGCCAUGCCGCGUGUGUGAUGAAGGCCUUAGGGUUGUAAAGCACUUUUGUCCGGGAAGAUAAUGACUGUACCGGAAGGAUAAGCCCCGGCUAACUUCGUGCCAGCCGCCGCCGUAAAAC
rnacentral:rRNA from 1 species